UACGUAGGGGGCAAGCGUUGUCCGGAUUUAUUGGGCGUAAAGAGCGUGUAGGCGGUUUGGUAGGUCCGCUGUGAAAACUCGAGGCUCAACCUCGAGACGCCGGUGGAAACCAUCAGGCUAGAGUCCGGAAGAGGAGAGUGGAAUUCCUGGUGUAGCAGUGAAAUGCGUAGAUAUCAGGAGGAAUACCGAUGGCGAAGGCAGGUCUCUGGGCUGACACUGACGCUCAUGCACGAAAGCGUGGGGAGCAAACAGG
rnacentral:rRNA from 1 species